rnacentral:tRNA from 1 species
UCGCCUCCCAGUAGGUGGAGGUGCUGCCGUCGUUGGCGUUGGCGGCGACGUAGUUCUGGGUCGUGGAGGAGGCC